ACUAUUUACAAAUCCAAGAAAUAUUAAAUUUAUGUUUUAAUCAAUAUAAUCACAGUAACAGUUCAAUGUAAUGUAGAGUUUGUCUGAAUGCGUUUACAUGUCGUGCAUUACAGAAAACGUGUUUAGCCCCACUUGUUGCUAACUAACGUUAACAUUACUGUUUUAAAACAUUUGAAUCAGUGCACCGUUAGCGUUAGUUGUAAUGUGUUAACUAUGAAUUUUAACAGUGUUAUAAGGACAAAAACAUUUGAAAUCGGCUGAUUCAAUUUUUAACAUAUUUUUAAAUCUUGGCGCGAGCAUGCGUUUAGGUUGUCAUGGUGACGCGCGCUCACACAACCGCACGUCAUGGCACUGCGCUGAACUCUGUCCAGACUGUGAAUGUGGUAUUAUCUUCGCGAUCUGUAGGCACUACGGAAACGAAAGCUUGUUGCAUGCUGAUCCAUACACGAGAGCCUAACGGAGAACAUUUAAGCUGUGCUCCUCACCUGAGCAGAAUUGAAGGUCGGUUGUUGCUGACUACAGAAAGAUUCUUAUAUGGAGGCAUGUAAAAGCAAGGAAAGUGAAACUUCAGCUAGACCUUGAGUUCAGUUUACAAUAUGAAGAUCCUGAUAUCAACAUCUGAUCUGAUCAACACCUGAUUUUCAUCUGAGCUGCAGAGUACCAACAUGUUACAAAUGAGAAUUUUCCCCACAAAUUCUUUGGACAACCACACCAUCACCUAUUUCAGUUGAUGACAAUUUUAAGGCAAACAGCAUCCAAAACUGACAAGACAGCAGAUACCCUGGCUAAUCUUUUGAAGGUUUAUGAUGAGCAGGAACUGCAUGAUGUCAGUUCAUGAUGGACUACUGUUAUCAGAGGUCUUUUGGUCUUGCUGCGUGAGCGUGACUGGGGAUUCUUUAGGACCACCCUGAUUAAUAAUCCUGAAGUGCUGACUGAAGAUGCUUUAUUGGCCCUGCAGUCACUGAGGGUCUCUGCUGUCCUGAAGAAUGAAUUGGACACCACCCACUGCACACUUCCAGACCUUUUUUGUCUUGUUUGGAUUAAUGUAUGCUCUUCACAUAGUAUAUAGUAAAGGACUUUGAACUUGUACAAAAAGUUUUGCUUGGCAUGGAUGAUAGAAAAUAGAAAGUCGAUUAGCAUAGAAUCCUUAAAGAAUGAGUUGAUGUAGAGCCUUUUUUUGUACUCAAUAAAGACUGUCACUGGGGUAGUAACUUCAAAACAUGUAUGUAUAUAUAUAGAUAGCGAUAGAUUGUCUAAAACGUAAAAUUCUGUCAUUUACUUACUCUUCACUUGUUCCAAACCUGUUUGAAUUUCUUGCUUCUGUUGAACACAAAAGUUAUUUUGAGGCAUUGACUUUCUAAUAGGAAAACAAAUACUGUGGAAAUCAGUGGUUCCAGGUUUCAGCUGUUUUGUCAAAAAUAACCUUUUAAGUGUUCAACAGAAGAAAGAAACUCAAACAGGUUUGGAAUAAGUUAGAGUAAAUGACAGAAUCAUAGUUCAACCAAGA